CUGAGCUACCCAGACGCCCAGCUGAGAUAUUUAAGUUUAAAUGAUGCUCUCUCUCUCUCUCCACUCCCUAACUGACCCCAGCCUCACCUUAUUUAUAUUAUACUCUAUAUUACAUUGAUGGGUUUUAUUAUUUAAGAACUAUAUGCACUGAAGGAUCUCUGUGUGUCUUGAAGAUCUAAAUACAUCUUGCACAUCUAAGGUGGGACUGUUUGUGAUCCAUUCUGUUUCAGGGAUGAUAGGAUUUACUCUCUACAUUCAAGAUAUUUCGAAUAUUUCUAGUUUGUUGCACUUGGUUCUUGUUUUUCUAAUGUUGGUCUAAUGUUGGUCUUGUGAUUACAAGAAGAAGCUGCUAAAUAAAUCGCGUUUUUGAAAUGAC